CCUACGGGUGGCAGCAGUGAGGAAUAUUGGUCAAUGGGCGCGAGCCUGAACCAGCCAAGUCGCGUGAGGGAAGACGGCCCUACGGGUUGUAAACCUCUUUUGCCGGGGAGCAACGGGCGCCACGUGUGGCGCCACUGAGAGUACCCGGAGAAUAAGCCACGGCUAACUACGUGCCAGCAGCCGCGGUAAUACGUAGGUGGCAAGCGUUGUCCGGAUUUACUGGGUGUAAAGGGCGUGCAGCCGGGAAGACAAGUCAGAUGUGAAAUCCCGCGGCUCAACCGCGGAACUGCAUUUGAAACUGUUUUUCUUGAGUACCGGAGAGGUCAUCGGAAUUCCUUGUGUAGCGGUGAAAUGCGUAGAUAUAAGGAAGAACACCAGUGGCGAAGGCGGAUGACUGGACGGCAACUGACGGUGAGGCGCGAAAGCGUGGGGAGCAAACAGGAUUAGAUACCCCUGUAGUC
rnacentral:rRNA from 1 species